GGAAUAUUGGUCAAUGGACGGAGGUCUGAACCAGCCAUGCCGCGUGAGGGAAGAAGGUCCUAUGGGUUGUAAACCUCUUUUGCUCCGGAGCAAUAAGGCGGAUGCGUCCGCCGACGAGAGUACGGGGCGAAUAAGCAUCGGCUAACUCCGUGCCAGCAGCCGCGGUAAUACGGAGGAUGCAAGCGUUAUCCGGAUUUAUUGGGUUUAAAGGGUGCGCAGGCGGCGCGAUAAGUCAGCGGUGAAAUGUACCGGCUCAACCGGUGAGCUGCCGUUGAUACUGUCGUGCUUGAGUGCGAGCGGCGCCGGCGGAAUGUGUGAUGUAGCGGUGAAAUGCAUAGAUAUCACACAGAACACCGAUCGCGAAGGCAGCUAGCGAGGACGUUACUGACGCUGAGGCACGAAAGCGUGGGGAUCAAACA
rnacentral:rRNA from 1 species